rnacentral:rRNA from 1 species
GCAAGUCGAACGAAGUAGCAAUACUUAGUGGCAGACGGGUGAGUAACAUGUGGGUAUCUACCCUUUGGCCUGGAAUAACACGAGGAAACUUGUGCUAAUACCGGAUAAGUCUUUACAGAGAAAGCUUUAUGCACCAUUGGAUGAGCCCGCACUUGAUUAGUUUGUUGGUAGGGUAAUGGCCUACCAAGACUGUGAUCAAUAGCUGAUUUGAGAGGAUGAUCAGCCACAUUGGGACUGAGACACGGCCCAAACUCCUACGGGAGGCAGCAGUGGGGAAUCUUGCACAAUGGAGGAAACUCUGAUGCAGCGAUGCCGCGUGAGUGAAGAAGGCCCUUGGGUUGUAAAGCUCUUUCGUCGGGGAAGAAAAUGACUGUACCCGAAUAAGAAGGUCCGGCUAACUUCGUGCCAGCAGCCGCGGUAAUACGAAGGGACCUAGCGUAGUUCGGAAUUACUGGGCUUAAAGAGUUCGUAGGUGGUUGAAAAAGUUGGUGGUGAAAUCCCAGAGCUUAACUCUGGAACUGCCAUCAAAACUUUUCAGCUAGAGUUUGAUAGAGGAAAGCAUAAUUUCUAGUGUAGAGGUGAAAUUCCGUAGAUAUU